AACAGGAUUAGAUACCCUGGUAGUCCACGCCGUAAACGAUGUCGACUUGGAGGUUGUUCCCUUGGGGAGUGGCUUCCGGAGCUAACGCGUUAAGUCGACCGCCUGGGGAGUACGGCCGCAAGGUUAAAACUCAAAUGAAUUGACGGGGGCCCGCACAAGCGGUGGAGCAUGUGGUUUAAUUCGAUGCAACGCGAAGAACCUUACCUACUCUUGACAUCCACGGAAUUCGGCAGAGAUGCCUUAGUGCCUUCGGGAACCGUGAGACAGGUGCUGCAUGGCUGUCGUCAGCUCGUGUUGUGAAAUGUUGGGUUAAGUCCCGCAACGAGCGCAACCCUUAUCCUUUGUUGCCAGCGAUUCGGUCGGGAACUCAAAGGAGACUGCCGGUGAUAAACCGGAGGAAGGUGGGGAUGACGUCAAGUCAUCAUGGCCCUUACGAGUAGGGCUACACACGUGCUACAAUGGCGCAUACAAAGAGAAGCGACCUCGCGAGAGCAAGCGGACCUCAUAAAGUGCGUCGUAGUCCGGAUCGGAGUCUGCAACUCGACUCCGUGAAGUCGGAAUCGCUAGUAAUCGUGGAUCAGAAUGCCACGGUGAAUACGUUCCCGGGCCUUGUACACACCGCCCGUCACACCAUGGGAGUGGGUUGCAAAAGAAGUAGGUAGCUUAACCUUCGGGAGGGCGCUUACCACUUUGUGAUUCAUGACUGGGGUGAAGUCGUAACAAGGUA
rnacentral:rRNA from 1 species